rnacentral:lncRNA from 1 species
ACGUAUAACAACAGCGAUUUCUGAAAAACGUUACCUACGUUGUAAAUCAAAGUAAGAAAAAGCCAUACACACAUCUAAGAGAAAAACAUUACUCUACCCAAUUACGCUAAAGGCCAAGGAUCAUACCAACACCGUGAACGGGACCCACGGUCUCACAUCAAAUGGCACGACAUGAGUGCCGAGACAGGGUUUGCUCAGCGGUUUCGGGGCCCC